UGGAGGAAAGUAGGGGAUCGUAAGACCUUGCGCUUUUGGAGUGGCCGAUGCCUGAUUAGCUAGUUGGUGGGGUAAAGGCCUACCAAGGCGACGAUCAGUAGUUGGUCUGAGAGGACGGCCAGCCACACUGGGACUGAGACACGGCCCAGACUCCUACGGGAGGCAGCAGUGGGGAAUUUUGGACAAUGGGCGCAAGCCUGAUCCAGCCAUGCCGCGUGAGUGAAGAAGGCCUUCGGGUUGUAAAGCUCUUUCAGCCGGGAAGAAAAGGCUGCGACUAAUAAUCGCAGUUCAUGACGGUACCGGAAGAAGAAGCACCGGCUAACUACGUGCCAGCAGCCGCGGUAAUACGUAGGGUGCGAGCGUUAAUCGGAAUUACUGGGCGUAAAGGGUGCGCAGGCGGCUUUGUAAGUCAGAUGUGA
rnacentral:rRNA from 1 species